UACGAAGGGGGCUAGCGUUGUUCGGAAUCACUGGGCGUAAAGGGCGCGUAGGCGGCUUUAUAAGUCGGGGGUGAAAGCCUGUGGCUCAACCACAGAAUUGCCUUCGAUACUGUAGAGCUUGAGACCGGAAGAGGUAAGUGGAACUGCGAGUGUAGAGGUGAAAAUUCGUAGAUAUUCGCAAGAACACCAGUGGCGAAGGCGGCUUACUGGUCCGGUUCUGACGCUG
rnacentral:rRNA from 1 species